UCCCUGGUUCCAACUCAAUCGU
rnacentral:siRNA from 1 species